UACGGAGGGUGCGAGCGUUGUCCGGAAUCAUUGGGCGUAAAGGGCGCGUAGGUGGCCCGGUCAGUUCGUGGUGAAAGCGCGGGGCUCAACCCUGCGUCGGCCAUGAAUACUGCCGCGGCUGGAGCACUGUAGAGGCAGGCGGAAUUCCGGGUGUAGCGGUGGAAUGCGUAGAGAUCCGGAAGAACACCGGUGGCGAAGGCGGCCUGCUGGGCAGUAGCUGACACUGAGGCGCGACAGCGUGGGGAGCGAACGGG
rnacentral:rRNA from 1 species